UACACCAGGUGCUAAAGCAUGGGUAUUUUGUAUCCAUUGAGCAAAGACUGGUUGUAAUUGUAUAGCAGUAUCUUUGUUUCUCAUGGAAUCUUAUAUAAUAAAGUUGAUUUUUCUAGAUGCUCAACCCUCCAUGUCGCCCGUAUUCCAAAUUUUAUGUUCUGGGUUCCUAACUUAUGGUCCAGCAAGGGAUGUUCCUUUUGGAUUGAUUUGUUAUGGUCCAUCGUCAUAAGGUCUUCUAUUUCCUACUUCACCCGUCUGGAUUCAGAAAACGAAACCCUAACAACGGUCAAGUAAUGUGCCAGAGUUAUGUCGUUUGUUGAUGAACAACCAGAAACCCCAGGACCCUUCUUUUUUUUUUCUUUUUUUUGAUAUCUGGCCAAUCCUUUCACUACUCUUCUCCUAAAAGCUUCCCCCGUAACGCCUAAGAUCCAACUUCAUAGCUUCUUACUCUUAUCUCCGCUUCAAUAUAAUUCUCAGUUUAAAUCUCGGUUCCAAUUAUCUUUUUGAUGGCGGUUCGAUUUCUCCCCAAACUGAAGCUAACAAUAAUGGAGAUUUCCCAAUUGUACCUUUCCGACUUGAAGACUGGUGGUUUUAAGGACGCAAUGGUGACACGUCAACUUUGAUUCUGGGAGUCGCACACUCUGAAGAAAGGAGGCGAGCUGGUUGGGGGUGGACAUUGUAUUUACUUGACGAGAAGUCAAUGUUGAUACAAGGUACCAUCAUCGCACAUCGGCUCUGCACUUUUAAAAAUCUACUGAGUGAAGGCGCUGUCUACGAGCUUAGUGUUUUCUAUGCUGCUAGAAGCUAUAACCACUCCAAACUGUGCGCCUCUCCUGUCUAUAUUCGAUUUAACUAACGAGCAUACUAGCUUUGUCGAGGUUGUCGACCCGACGGCUGGCAUCCCAGCGAAAAAAAAUCAGGUUUUGCAAGUAUGAACAGCUAAUGGCUCUCGCUAACACCAACUUAGAUUUUCUCGCCAAGCCAUUCACAAUACUACGACAUUAAUUCCCACAUUAAACAUACCAACUGCAGGCUCUGUAGAGCAGCGAGUGGUUCUUCUGGUAUAUCUUCCAAGUAUGGUAGUGUUAAGAAACUUGAAUCUGUCACAUUCUCUGAACUUAAUAGCUACCGCUACGUUUUGAAUUCACCCCAUAGGUACGUAUAUUGAAUAAGGAUCACUGUAAUGAUUGCAUUUAGCUCAGUGUUCGUGUGUACUUUCUUAACAUGACCAAUACAUGUGUUCUUAUCUUGCGUUGUCUCUCCUUUUUCAUAUUGUGCACAAUUAAUUUAUCCAAACGCCUCUUACUUGAAAAUAAGAGAUUUUUUGUUGCUUGCUUUGGUUCCAGUAAUGACUACUUCCUACACGCUUCUUGCUGAGGUUAGAAUUCUCCGGUUUUGGGAGGCCCUGAACGUCAAGAAAGGAGGUGAACUGAUUUCCUGGAUGAGAAGGCGCUUGAUGUGAAAAGAGGGUGAGUUCAUGGUCGUGGACCUUUUCAGCUUCUUGAUGAAAAGGUUCGCCCAUCCCUGGAACGCAUUCAAUCCCUUAUAUAAAAUACGUAAGCAUGAAGCUUUAAUGGUGGAUCUUCCGUAGGACCGUAGCAUACAAGGGAUUUGCAUUUGAAAAUGACGUGAUCAUCCCUUAUAUAAAAUACUAAUCUUAUAUGCAGGACAAGAAAACUUGGUCACUUCUUCGUUUAGUUUUUUUUUUCUGUAAACAACU